rnacentral:tRNA from 1 species
GCGCCCAUAGCUCAGCUGGAAAGAGCGCCGGACUUCGAAUCCGUAGGUCGCAGGUUCGAGCCCUGCUGGGCGCGCCA